rnacentral:ncRNA from 1 species
CGUCAGUUUCAGGGAAGGUGCAAUUCCUUACUGGCGGUAACGGCGCAGCCCGCAUCCAUAUGGGCGCCGCCGAAGCCCGCGACCCGCGCAAGCGGCUGAUCCGGUGGGAUUCCGGAGCCAACGGUACAGUCCGGAUGAAAGAAACGGAGC